UACGUAGGGACCAAGCGUUGUCCGGAAUUAUUGGGCGUAAAGCGCGUGUAGGCGGCUUGCCAAGUCCGGUGUGAAAUGUCGGGGCUCAACCCCGGAACUGCAUUGGAAACUGGCUUGCUUGAGUCCGGAAGAGGAGACUGGAAUUCCUGGUGUAGCGGUGAAAUGCGCAGAUAUCAGGAAGAACACCCGUGGCGAAGGCGGGUCUCUGGGACGGUACUGACGCUGAGACGCGAAAGCGUGGGGAGCAAACAGG
rnacentral:rRNA from 1 species